rnacentral:rRNA from 1 species
AUUGAACGCUGGCGGCAUGCCUUACACAUGCAAGUCGAACGGUAACGGGCCUUCGGGUGCCGACGAGUGGCGAACGGGUGAGUAAUGCAUCGGAACGUACCUUUCAGUGGGGGAUAACGUAGCGAAAGUUACGCUAAUACCGCAUAUUCUGUGAGCAGGAAAGCAGGGGAUCGCAAGACCUUGCGCUGAUUGAGCGGCCGAUGUCAGAUUAGCUAGUUGGUGAGGUAAAGGCUCACCAAGGCGACGAUCUGUAGCGGGUCUGAGAGGAUGAUCCGCCACACUGGAACUGAGACACGGUCCAGACUCCUACGGGAGGCAGCAGUGGGGAAUUUUGGACAAUGGGGGCAACCCUGAUCCAGCCAUGCCGCGUGAGUGAAGAAGGCCUUCGGUUGGUAAAGACGUCUUCGUCCGGGACGGAAAGUACGCAUGGGUUAAGU